GACGUAGGGUGCAAGCGUUGUCCGGAUUUACUGGGCGUAAAGGGAGCGUAGGCGGUCUUAUAAGUCAGUGGUGAAAUCUCGUUGCUUAACAACGAACGUGCCAUUGAUACUGUAGGACUUGAGUACAGUUGCCGUUGGCGGAAUGUGUCAUGUAGCGGUGAAAUGCAUAGAUAUGACACAGAACACCGAUUGCGAAGGCAGCUGACGAAACUGUAACUGACGCUGAGGCUCGAAAGCGUGGGGAUCAAACAGG
rnacentral:rRNA from 1 species